GCCCUUUGGACAGUACAGGCACCCUGUCAUAUGGAGCACAACACUUCAAAUUCCAGGAACUUUAACAAACGAGGGAUAUAUGAGCAAAUAAUUCCGAUAAAUGAAUUUGGAAGAAAGGACAAAUUGAUAACAUAAAAGCUUCAGUGCACUUUCAAGAGUGUAUCAUUGCAAAAGUUGAUUUCAAUGCAAUCAUUCGGGGGGGCAUUUUGCAUGAUAACAAGAAUCCAAUAACCUCCAUAAUCUACAGACCUUACUUUAAAACGAGUAGUUAACUCAUUUCAAAAGAAGAAAAGUAAGCAGGUGAAAACACUCCCAAGUCAAAAUAUUCAAGGAUGAAUUGUGCUAAGCAGCAGGACUAAUUUAAAUGAAAUAUUUCAUGAAUCAAUUGGAUAAGAGAAAAGUUGGGAUUUUGACCUAUCAUUUGGGAGGAUAGUGAUUAUAACUAAACAAAAUCCUUUUAGAAUAUCCAACAAGAAUAAUUCAUGUAAUUUUGCCAUGUGACUCGUAAAGAAUAGAGCUUUCCUCAUUCCUCUUUUAAACAAAUUAACAACCUGCUUAACCUUGUUCCUCUUUUCUUGCAACAUAACACUGUCAUUGUAGCAAAAUUGAUAUUACUAACCGUGCUAACCUUGGUAU
rnacentral:misc_RNA from 1 species